UACAGAGACUGCAAGCGUUAUUCGGAUUCACUGGGCGUAAAGCGCACGUAGGCGGCUUUGUAAGUUAGAGGUGAAAGCCCAGGGCUCAACCCUGGAAUUGCCUUUAAGACUGCAUCGCUAGAAUUGUGGAGAGGUAAGUGGAAUUCCGAGUGUAGAGGUGAAAUUCGUAGAUAUUCGGAAGAACACCAGUGGCGAAGGCGACUCACUGGACACGUAUUGACGCUGAGGUGCGAAAGCGUGGGGAGCAAACAGG
rnacentral:rRNA from 1 species